rnacentral:rRNA from 1 species
GACGUAGGGCGCAAGCGUUGUCCGGAUUUAUUGGGCGUAAAGAGCUCGUAGGCGGCUUGCCACGUCUGCCGUGAAAACCAGCAGCUUAACUGUUGGCUUGCGGUUGAUACGGGUUGGCUGGAGUUCGGUAGGGGAGACUGGAAUUCCUGGUGUAGCGGUGAAAUGCGUAGAUAUCAGGAGGAACACCGGCGGUGUAGACGGCUUGCUAGACCAUAACUGACGCUGAGGCACGAAAGCGUGGGUAGCAAACAGG